AGAGUUUUCAGUGAGAGCUUGUGCACUUACAAAAUCGUCCAAUUUUGUUGCCUGAUUUUCGGACCCAAUUAAAAAGUUGAAUCCGCCCAAAUUAGCCGACGAGAGUCCUUACAAGAAGCUCGGAUACAUGGCCCAAAGUUCCAUUGCAUCAGCGUCUCUCUCUCCAUGGAGCAGGCGGAGAAGGAAACGGUAAGAGCGGCUUCAGAGGGGGUUUCUCGCGAGUUCAAAACCCUUAUCGACGCCGAGGAUUUGGACUCCCUCAAGCAAUUGCAGCACCUUAUACUGGGAAGAUUGCAGGACAGCAAUGCAGUACUGUCACAUUUUAAUGAGUAUUCAGAGCAUUGCUUUGAUGAGGUUUCAGGGGACUUCUCUAGAAAUACACGCCUUUUGAGGUCUAUGAAGUCAGAUCUUGAUUAUAUAUUUCAGAAACUAAGGCAUAUGCCAUCUUCAGGAGUAAACAUCAUUUGCCCAACUCUGACUUGUGAGAAUAGCAAGUGCAUGUGAAAGUCCAUAAAUAAAAUGAAAGAUGGAAAAGGAAAGGGAAGCAUAUGCAUUACUUGUCCUAAGAACAGCAUCAAGUUCGCGCCAUAUUGACGUUGAAAUUGAGUCUCAUUUCAUAUGUGCUCUCCUGUGCGGCCAUUUUAACACAAGUAUUAUACAUAGAUUAUUGUGCCCGUGACACUAAGGUUGAGGGCCACCUUUAGAUGGCCUAAG